GUGGGGAAUCUUGCGCAAUGGGCGAAAGCCUGACGCAGCAACGCCGCGUGCGGGAAGAAGGCUUUCGGGCUGUAAACCGCUUUCAGCAGGAACGAAAAUGACGGUACCUGCAGAAGAAGGAGCGGCCAACUAUGUGCCAGCAGCCGCGGUGAUACAUAGGCUUCAAGCGUUGUCCGGAUUUAUUGGGCGUAAAGAGUUCGUAGGCGGUCGAGUAAGUCGGGUGUGAAAAUUCUGGGCUUAACCCAGAGACGCCACCCGAUACUGCUUAACUUGAGUUCGAUAGGGGAGUGGGGAAUUCCUAGUGUAGCGGUGAAAUGCGCAGAUAUUAGGAGGAACACCGGUGGCGAAGGCGCCACUCUGGAUCGAAACUGACGCUGAGGAACGAAAGCAUGGGUAGCAAACAGGAUUAGAAACCCUAGUAGUCC
rnacentral:rRNA from 1 species